GAUGAAGACGCAGCGAAAUGCGAUAAGUAAUGUGAAUUGCAGAAUUCAGUGAAUCAUCGAAUCUUUGAACGCACCUUGCGCCCUUUGGCCAUUCCGAAGGGCAUGCCUGUUUGAGUAUCAUGAACACCUCAACUCUUCAUGGUUUUCCAUGAUGAGCUUGGACUUUGGGGGUCUUGCUGGCCUGUGGGUCGGCUCCUCUCAAAUGAAUCAGCUUGCCGGUUUUUGGUGGGCAUCACAGGUGUGAUAACUAUCUACGCUUGUGGUUUUCCACCAGGGUAACCUUCAGCAGUGGAGGUUCACUGGAGCUUACAAAUGUCUCUCCUCUGUGAGGACAGCCCUUUGAAUGUUUGAUCUCAAAUCAGGUAGGACUACCCGCUGAACUUAAGCAUAUCAAUAAGCGGAGGA
rnacentral:misc_RNA from 1 species